rnacentral:tRNA from 1 species
GCGCCCGUAGUUCAGCUGGAUAGAACGCUUGUUUCCGAUGCAAGAGGUCAGGGGUUCAAAUCCCUUCGGGCGUACCA